rnacentral:rRNA from 1 species
UUGAACGCUGGCGGCAGGCCUAACACAUGCAAGUCGAACGGUAACAGGAAGAAGCUUGCUUCUUUGCUGACGAGUGGCGGACGGGUGAGUAAUGUCUGGGAAACUGCCUGAUGGAGGGGGAUAACUACUGGAAACGGUAGCUAAUACCGCAUAACGUCGCAAGACCAAAAAGGGGGACCUUCGGGCCUCUUGCCAUCGGAUGUGCCCAGAUGGGAUUAGCUAGUAGGUGGGGUAACGGCUCACCUAGGCGACGAUCCCUAGCUGGUCUGAGAGGAUGACCAGCCACACUGGAACUGAGACACGGUCCAGACUCCUACGGGAGGCAGCAGUGGGGAAUAUUGCACAAUGGGCGCAAGCCUGAUGCAGCCAUGCCGCGUGUAUGAAGAAGGCCUUCGGGUUGUAAAGUACUUUCAGCGGGGAGGAAGGGAGUAAAGUUAAUACCUUUGCUCAUUGACGUUACCCGCAGAAGAAGCACCGGCUAACUCCGUG